rnacentral:tRNA from 1 species
UGUCUCGUGGUGUAACGGUAACACGAAAGAUUCUGGCUCUUUAAUUCGGGGUUCGAAUCCCUGCGAGACAAC